rnacentral:rRNA from 1 species
GAUGAACGCUGGCGGCGUGCCUAAUACAUGCAAGUCGAGCGAACAGACGAGGAGCUUGCUCCUCUGACGUUAGCUGCGGACGGGUGAGUAACACGUGGAUAACCUACCUAUAAGACUGGGAUAACUUCGGGAAACCGGAGCUAAUACCGGAUAAUAUAUUUAACCGCAUGGUUCAAUAGUGAAAGACGGUUUUGCUGUCACUUAUAGAUGGAUCCGCGCCGCAUUAGCUAGUUGGUAAGGUAACGGCUUACCAAGGCAACGAUGCGUAGCCGACCUGAGAGGGUGGUCGGGCACACUGGAACUGAGACACGGUCCAGACUCCUACGGGAGGCAGCAGUAGGGAAUCUUCAGAAAUGGGCGAAAGCCUGACGGAGCAACGCCGCGUGAGUGAUGAAGGUCUUCGGAUCGUAAAACUCUGUUAUUAGGGAAGAACAAAUGUGUAAGUAACUAUGCACGUCUUGACGGUACCUAAUCAGAAAGCCACGGAUAACUACGUG